rnacentral:rRNA from 1 species
UACGAGGGGUGCAAGCGUUAUCCGGAUUUACUGGGUUUAAAGGGUGCGUAGGUGGGUAUGUAAGUCAGUGGUGAAAUCUUCGAGCUUAACUCGGAAACUGCCAUUGAUACUAUAUAUCUUGAAUUAUCUGGAGGUAAGCGGAAUAUGUCAUGUAGCGGUGAAAUGCUUAGAUAUGACAUAGAACACCCAUUGCGAAGGCAGCUUACUACGGAUCGAUUGACACUGAGGCACGAAAGCGUGGGGAUCAAACAGG